rnacentral:rRNA from 1 species
GAGCGCCGUAGCAAUACGGAGCGGCAGACGGGAGAGUAACACGUGGGAACGUACCCUUUGGUUCGGAACAACCCAGGGAAACUUGGGCUAAUACCGGAUAAGCCCUCACGGGGAAAGAUUCAUCGCCGAAGGAUCGGCCCGCGUCUGAUUAGCUAGUUGGUGGGGUAAUGGCCCACCAAGGCGACGAUCAGUAGCUGGUCUGAGAGGAUGAUCAACCUCACUGGGACUGAGACACGGCCCAGACUCCUACGGGAGGCAGCAGUGGGGAAUAUUGGACAAUGGGCGCAAGCCUGAUCCAGCCAUGCCGCGUGGGUGAUGAAGGCCCUAGGGUUGUAAAGCCCUUUCGGCGGGGAAGAUAAUGACGGUA